rnacentral:rRNA from 1 species
AACGUAGGACGCGAGCGUUAUCCGGAGUUACUGGGCGUAAAGAGCGCGCAGGCGGUCGAUCAAGUCGAGUGUGAAAGCCCCCGGCUCAACUGGGGAGGGUCAUUCGAUACUGAUCGACUCGAAGGCAGGAGAGGGUAGUGGAAUUCCCGGUGUAGUGGUGAAAUGCGUAGAUAUCGGGAGGAACACCAGUGGCGAAGGCGACUACCUGGCCUGUUCUUGACGCUGAGGCGCGAAAGCUAGGGGAGCAAACGGG